rnacentral:lncRNA from 1 species
GUGCCAGUUCAAUCAGCAUGACCUAACCCAAUUCAAUGACUUGGUAAAGUCAAUGGGAGGAUUAUGGUCUAUUGAGUGAUCUUUUCUUCUCUUUUCUCUAAAUCGAUUAAAUCUUCUAAAUUAUUAGAUCCUUAAAAUGAGCUGGUUAUGGUGAUGACUAGAUCAUAGCCUCCCAUUAAGGUGAGUGAUAAUUAAUCUAUUAUUUUUUAUUAACAUUGCAGGCGCCAUCCAUCUGAUAUUCUCUCUG